UAAAUCUACAAAACAUUAGUAUGACUCCGUUACCGCAGUGUUAUGACUUAGAUUACUAAUAGACAGAAAAUUCUAUAUAUUUAGAAUUAGAUGAUUCAACUGACACAUAUAAUGCAUCGAACUACUUACGUGAACGACCGCACAGAAACGCACCACUGCCUACAAUUGCAUUUGCUGUCGCAAUAGUAAUCACGAAACGUCACGAUUAUCUCAUUUUGACGUUUGACGUACCACGACACACGAAAAACAAUUAAUAACUUUACCAAGCCACUGGUGUUUUUGGUGUCAUACGACCAAUUUUGUUGUUGACGCGACGUUAAAUUGUUACAGGAAUCCCCAAAUCAACAGAAACGUACAAAACGACAGGAUUUGCGUUUUACCAGACCCAAUUAAUUUUGCAUUUUUUCACAUAUUCGUGUUGGUAAUCUUUAUGCAAAAGUUUGUUUUUAAUUUUUUAAUUUUAAAAUUAAUGUCUCGAAUUAGGGGAAUAUAUUUAUCGUUACGGGAUUUCCCCGCAACUUUGUUUACCUUUUUAACAUUAUGGAACGGGAAGCUUUCUCAAUUUGGAAAGACAGCUUUAAGGAUAGAUUUAUUAAAUUAUCACUUUCUCAAAGACUUGAUGUGGCCAAGCUCUUUCUAAAACUAUGUGAAGUAAAGGAGUUGACUUACUUGAUAACGGAAAUGGAUGGUUUAUUGGUGCGGAAUUUUACCAGACUUUUACCAACUGAAGUAGUGAAUGAGAUAUUAAGUUACCUAGAUCCAACCUCAAUGCUCAACUGCUGCCAAGUUCAAAGAUCGUGGAAUGAAGAUAUAACUCGGUCUUGUGAUUUGUGGAAAAAAUCAUGCAUUGACAUUGGAUGUAAAGUUUUAAAAACAGAUGUUGGAGUAAACAGUGGAAAAUUCUGGAGGGAAAAAUUUGUCCAUGGUUCCAAAUGUUUUCACAAACUAAAAUCUCAUCAGUUUCAUGACACACUUGAGUUAUGUGGUCACAAACAAAGAGUUUAUUGCUUACAGUAUGAUGGAAACGACAAAUUAUAUUCCGGAUCUGGAGAUGGACAGAUAUGCAUCUGGAAUAUUAAUUCUGGAAGUUUAUUCAAAACUUUUACUGUAGAACCAUGUUCUGACAUUGUAUUGGCCACAUCUCUCCUGUAUGUAGGUUCUUUUACAUGUAUUAUAUCCUGCUGGAACAUUGAGAAUGGAGGGCAUUGUAAAAGUUAUAGAGGCCACACAGGUGCUGUGUUCAGUUUGGCAUUAAAUGAAGCACAUGAUUUACUUCUAAGUGGAUCUACAGACCAAACAGCAAGGCUGUGGAAGAUUUCUACAUGUGAAACACUUCAUGUGUUUCAUGGACAUGAUUGUUGGGUGAAAAAGGUUUUACUCUUUACAACAACAUUCUACAACAAAGAUUUUAUGCAUGGUGAAAUAAUGGCUGUUACAAUGGGAGAAAUAGAUAUUAGGAUAUGGAAGUCAGAUUCAGAUAACUGCUUGGCCAAGCUUCAUGAUCUCCACCCAAAUAAAACUGAGAAAUCACAAAAUAUAUUAAUUAAUAACACAAGUCUUUUCUGCUCUUGCCAAGGUGAUGUCUUAGAAUGGAGUAUAAUUGAUUAUACUCUUACCAGAAAAUUUCCCUUGAGUUCUGAAAAAUCGUUUUGUGUCAACAUUGGACGAGUCUUCCUAGUUGAAUGUGACUUUAACGGAGAAAUGAAGUUGGCGUUACGAAAUCGUCGGUUACAUCGCAACUCUAUUUGCUACACAGACACUAAAGACGUAGUCUCAUUGCUCAAGAUGAAGGGAUUUGAUAAAAUAGGAAAUACUAAUAACAUUGUAUUAAGUGGGUUCAGUUUUAUGGACGGAUUUAAAUGCGACCUGCCGCCGAAAGAACAAUGUUUAGUCGCUGCUGUGCUGAAAAAUCAUAACAUAGUUAUUUUUAAAUUAAAAAUAUAGUAGGAGAUACCAACUAUAUUGUACUACCACAAUAUUAGCGUUAGGUACAGUAUAUUUGGCAUAUCAAUAACUCUUUGUGCGUUAGUAUUGUAGCGAUUAAGUGCUGCACCCCCAAUAGUAUCUACCCGAUCGGUUGCAUUUGCCAAGUAAUAAAUGAUCUCUAUGAGCGAUUGCUCAGUCAAGCUUAUCGAAAAUGUUUUGUCAAAAACAUGAAAGUUGAUUUUUGCGAAGAAGUUUAAAAAACUGCAUGGCACAAUUAUUGGAUACUGUUCGCGACGAUUUACUGUUGACAAAGGGCUGGCAGCAAGCUGUUGCAUUUCACUGUAAAGAAGUAAAGUUACCGUUUAUAGUUGCAAAAGAACGAGAGGAUUCACCAAAUAUUGUUGUUGUUCCCUGCAAGCAUAACGAAUACAGUGCACAUUUAAGUUUAGAUCUGUCUUAAAAUCAUCACUGCUCUCUGAUCUUAGUGAAUAUGAACGUUCUAGGAUUCUGCUGGCUCUUGUUGGGCAGUCCUUCGUCAUAGUUUAUCACUGGUUGUCCAUGGAAUAAAUUCAAUUUGAUGCAGAAAUGUGAUAUCUCUUCACAUUUGUUAAUGAAGGAUUUUCUUCUCUUUGAUUGCAAAGAAAGCUGUCAGACAUGCUUCAGAUUGUAUUGAAAAGGAAUAUGUCUGUUUAGUGCCAAUAACUAAUUCUGCAUUUAAAAACAUGAACUCAUUAUUGUUUUACUUGAAUUUGAACCUUUUUCUCUGUAAGAAUCUACCUGUAUGGUGCCAGGAGUAAAAAAGGUGUUAUUGAAACGUCAUGUUGCUAUCUACAAGGGUUUACUUUGAUUCUAAUUCUUAAUUUUUCCGCUUAGA